ACACUCCUACGGGAGGCAGCAGUGGGGAAUAUUGGACAAUGGGCGCAAGCCUGAUCCAGCCAUGCCGCGUGAGUGAUGAAGGCCCUAGGGUUGUAAAGCUCUUUCACCGGUGAAGAUAAUGACGGUAACCGGAGAAGAAGCCCCGGCUAACUUCGUGCCAGCAGCCGCGGUAAUACGAAGGGGGCUAGCGUUGUUCGGAUUUACUGGGCGUAAAGCGCACGUAGGCGGACUAUUAAGUCAGGGGUGAAAUCCCGGGGCUCAACCCCGGAACUGCCUUUGAUACUGGUAGUCUUGAGUUCGAGAGAGGUGAGUGGAAUUCCGAGUGUAGAGGUGAAAUUCGUAGAUAUUCGGAGGAACACCAGUGGCGAAGGCGGCUCACUAGCUCGAUACUGACGCUGAGGUGCGAAAGCGUGGGGAGCAAACAGGAUUAGAUACCCCAGUAGUCCCAUG
rnacentral:rRNA from 1 species